GGGAGAUUCAUCAGUUUUUUGUAAUAUUUCAGCUGUUCUUGACAUGUUUAUAGCCUUUUUCCCACCUGCUUUCAUGCCUGUAAUAAUGGCUUGUUGGUAGACUUUUAAAUGAACCAUAUCAGCACCAUUUGUGUUCAGAUUAGGAUCCGUAUUGGGGAAAUAGGCAGUAUCCCAAGCCGCUGGAUUUGCUUGGUUUUGGGUACAGGCAGUCUCCUCAAGAGCUUUAAUGGGCGCUUGGCUAAUACGGGUCCUUUCCUUGGAACUGAAUAAAGUUAAUAGUAACGGCUGACAAUGAGCCCAAGUAGGGUUGUGGG